GAUGAAGAACGCAGCGAAACGCGAUAUGUAAUGUGAAUUGCAGAAUUCAGUGAAUCAUCGAAUCUUUGAACGCACAUUGCGCCCGCCAGCACUCUGGCGGGCAUGCCUGUUCGAGCGUCAUUUCAACCAUCAAGCCCCCAGGGGCUUGUGCUGGGGCCCUGCGGCUGCCCGCAGGCCCUGAAAACCAGUGGCGGGCUCGCUAGUCACACCGAGCGCAGUAGCACAUCUCGCUCAGGGCGUGCGGCGGGCUCCUGCCGUGAAACCCCCCACUGUAACCCCAAAGGUUGACCUCGGAUCAGGUAGGAAUACCCGCUGAACUUAAGCAUAUCAAUAAGCGGAGGA
rnacentral:misc_RNA from 1 species